rnacentral:lncRNA from 1 species
AUGACCUGCUCCUCUCCCACCAGCCAACAGAUUGAUCUUUGCUGCCACCUUCAGCUGCCUUUCCAUUUCCAUCCUCUUCCUCGCUGUCUUCUUCAUCAACAGAUGCACCCAGCAUGGUUCGUCACAUGGAGAUUCCACCAAGAGAAUCAGCCAUUCUGAAUUUCCCAAGCAGGAGGCUACAGGUGAGUGGUAAGAGAGAAACCACAAGGGAAUCGUGGGAUGGGAAGAGUAAGUCUCA